rnacentral:rRNA from 1 species
GAUGAACGCUGGCGGCGUGCUUAACACAUGCAAGUCGAACGGAAAGGCCCAAGCUUGCUUGGGUACUCGAGUGGCGAACGGGUGAGUAACACGUGGGUGAUCUGCCCUGCACUUCGGGAUAAGCCUGGGAAACUGGGUCUAAUACCGGAUAGGACCACUUCUUGGAUGUUGUGGUGGAAAGUUUUUUCGGUGUGGGAUGAGCUCGCGGCCUAUCAGCUUGUUGGUGGGGUAAUGGCCUACCAAGGCGUCGCCGGGUAGCCGGCCUGAGAGGGUGUACGGCCACAUUGGGACUGGGAGACGGCCCAGGCUCCUACGGGAGGGAGCAGUGGGGAAUAUUGCACAAUGGGCGCAAGCCGGAUGCAGCGACGCCGCGUGGGGGAAGACGGCCUUCGGGUUGUAAACUCCUUUCGCUAGGGACGAAGCGUUUUGUGACGGUACCUGGAGAAGAAGCACCGGCUAACUACGUG